GCAUGCAUUGAUUAAUCCAAUGUUGUAGCCCAAAAAAUUGUGUAUAUUUUUUGUUUUAAUUGUAUUUUAUGGACACAUUCUAUUCUUUAGCAAUAGUAAUUUGAGUUAUGUAGCUCAAACUAACAAGAACAACAAGAGUACUGCCUUUAGAUUUGUUAAUCUUUGUUAGAUAUGUGACUACCAGAAAGCAUUACUCAGAAUCUCGUAGAUUACAAUUUGCAAUUAGAUGGAUGUACUGUUACUUCCUCUACUGUCAAAAAUCUGGGUGUUAUAUUAGACAGUAACUUGUCUUUUGAAAAUCAUAUUUCCCAUGUUACAAAAACAGCAUUCCUCCAUCUUAGAAACAUUGCCAAGCUACGAAACAUGUUACCUGUUUCUGAUGCACUGUUCCCUAACUUUAGGCUACAGUCUACGCAUCAAAAAUUAAAAGAAAGACCUUUACACAAAGGCUCUUAUGGAUGCUAUUGUCACAGUUAUGGAUUUCUGUUCUUACUGAGUUUCCUUAUUUUGUCAUGUUCCUUUUCUUGUUUAGUUAAUUAAUUAGCCCCACACCUGUUUCUGUUUCCCACUGAUUACGUUCACUAUUUAAAGUCUGUGUUCUCCUUUAUUUCUUUGUCCGCUAUUGAUGUUUGAAGAUUUGGAUUUGUGUUUGGUUGUGCCCUUUCUCUCAUGUGGAUAAUUAAAAUACUCCUUUCUUCGUGCGCUUUGAUUUACACACCAACACGUGUGACAGAAUAGCGGACCAAAAAGUGAGUAAGUUUAGCUGCGUUUUUCUUUCUUUCUUGUUUUGUUUUUACCCUCUCCCGGAAUGGCAAUCCCAGCAGCAAUCUCGCUCUGUGCAUUCUAUUACACCGGCCUGAGUGAGCGGUGUAAGGCACGCCUACCAGCGAACGGUCCCAAAGAGGACUUCGCUAAAUUCGUGGAGUGGGUGCUGGAGAAUAACGGAUCACCGUUCACCAUCUGCCCUGGUGAGGAGGAUAUCUCCAGCCCCACUCCCGAACCAGAGACCAGCCAGCUGUCAUCCCGCUGCACAGAGCAAGUGUCAGAGCCCGCCGCAGAGCCAGAGCCAGAUAUGAUUACAGAGCCAAUCGUCGCCCCGGAGCUAGGACUCAAGAGCGCGACUGACCAGGUGUGUGAGCCGGCAACACCGUGCAUCGUGGGAGUACUGGUGGAGAUCGAGGGCUUGGAGGGAGGCCCCGCCCAUUUAAUAGACUGGUUUGGGGAGGUAACUCCCAGUUCUCCUAUGUCUCUGCUUGUUCCGCCCAGCCCUGAAUGUCCUGUAUCUCCGCUGGUUCCGUCCAGCUCAAGUCCUCCUGUGUUCCCUCCCAGCCUCCCCCAAAAGGCAUGGAAUUUUAACUGAAGAUCUAUGAAACGUUAGUCAAUACAGCAUUUUUUUUAAACAAUGGCACUUAUAAAAUAUUAUUUCAACCAUAUAGCCUUUGAAUAAACAAAAUGCAUACUUUUUAAAUGAAAGAACA
ensembl:lncRNA